rnacentral:misc_RNA from 1 species
GCAAACUUGGUCAUUUAGAGGAAGUAAAAGUCGUAACAAGGUAACCGUAGGUGAACCUGCGGUUGGAUCAUUACUGAUUUUUGAAGUUUGUCAAGGUUUUUGAUGCUCUUUUUUUAGAGCUCACCUUUUCAACUUCUUUUCACACUAUGUGCAACUUUAUGUUUUUUUGGGUAUUUAGAGUUUGACUUUAAUGCCCAAACAUUUUUUUUAAACCUUUGUUUUUUAUUUUGUCUGAUUUAUAUCGUUUAAAAAAUCGAUAACAACUUUUGACAACGGAUCUCUUGGCUCUCGCAUCGAUGAAGAACGCAGC